rnacentral:rRNA from 1 species
GAUGAACGCUGGCGGCGUGCCUAAUACAUGCAAGUCGAGCGAACGCACGGGGAGCUGGGGUCCAUGAGUGUGUCGCGCGACGGGUGAGGAACAUGGGGUUGGCAUAACUAUAAGAAUGGGGUGACAUCGGGGGACCGUGGCUAAGGACGAAAGAUUUUUUGCACUGGGUUGGGCCAGAGUUGGAUUAGCUAGUUGGUAGGGUAAUAGACUACCACGGGGACCAUCCAUAGCUGGUCAGAGAGGCUGAUCAGCAACACUGGGAUUGAGACACGGCCCAGACUCCUACGGGAUGCAGCAGUGGGGAAUAUUGGACAAUGGGCGAAGGCCUGAUCCAGCAAUGCCGCGUGAGUGAUGAAGGCCUUAGGGUUGUAAAGCUCUUUUACCCGGGAUGAUAAUGACAGUACCGGGAGAAUAAGCUCCGGCUAACUCCGUG